UCGCCUGUUUAACAAAAACAUCGCCUCUUGAACUCCUAUAAGAGGUCCAGCCUGCCCAGUGACUUUGUUCAACGGCCGCGGUAUCCUAACCGUGCGAAGGUAGCGUAAUCACUUGUCUUUUAAAUGGGGACUUGUAUGAAUGGCAUCACGAGGGUUAUACUGUCUCCUUUUUCUAAUCAGUGAAACUAAUCUCCCCGUGAAGAAGCGGGGAUAAUUUUAUAAGACGAGAAGACCCUAUGGAGCUUUAAACUUAAUAACAAAUACUAAUUCCAUUUUAACUUCCAGAACACUUACUUCAACUUUAGUAUUAUGAUUAUUAGUUUUAGGUUGGGGUGACCGCGGAGUAAAAAUUAACCUCCACAUUGAACAGGACCGACCCUUGAGCCAAGAGCUACAACCCUAAGCACCAACAAAUUGACAUUAAUUGACCCAAUAUUUUGAUCAACGAACCAAGUUACCCUAGGGAUAACAGCGCAAUCCACUUCAAGAGCUCCUAUCGACAAGUGGGUUUACGACCUCGAUGUUGGAUCACGGUACCCCAGUGGUGCAGCCGCUACUAAAGGUUCGUUUGUUCAACGAUUAAAACCCU
rnacentral:rRNA from 1 species